rnacentral:rRNA from 1 species
GAUGAACGCUAGCGGGAGGCCUAACACAUGCAAGCCGAGCGGUAUUUGUUCUUCGGAACAGAGAGAGCGGCGUACGGGUGCGGAACACGUGUGCAACCUGCCUUUAUCAGGGGGAUAGCCCUUCGAAAGGAAGAUUAAUACCCCAUAAUAUACUGACUGGCAUCAGUCAGUAUUGAAAACUCCGGUGGAUAGAGAUGGGCACGCGCAAGAUUAGAUAGUUGGUAGGGUAACGGCCUACCAAGUCAGUGAUCUUUAGGGGGCCUGAGAGGGUGAUCCCCCACACUGGUACUGAGACACGGACCAGACUCCUACGGGAGGCAGCAGUGAGGAAUAUUGGACAAUGGGUUAGCGCCUGAUCCAGCCAUCCCGCGUGAAGGAUGACGGCCCUAUGGGUUGUAAACUUCUUUUGUAUAGGGAUAAACCUACUCUCGUGAGAGUAGCUGAAGGUACUAUACGAAUAAGCACCGGCUAACUCCGUGCCAGCAGCCGCGGUAAUACGGAAGGUGCAAGCGUUAUCCGGAUUUAUUGGGUUUAAAGGGUCCGUAGGCGGAUCUGUAAGUCAGUGGUGAAAUCUCAUAGCUUAACUAUGAAACUGCCAUUGAUACUGCAGGUCUUGAGUAAAGUAGAAGUGGCUGGAAUAAGUAGUGUAGCGGUGAAAUGCAUAGAUAUUACUUAGAACACCAAUUGCGAAGGCAGGUCACUAUGUUUUAACUGACGCUGAUGGACGAAAGCGUGGGGAGCGAACAGGAUUAGAUACCCUGGUAGUCCACGCCGUAAACGAUGCUAACUCGUUUUUGGGCUUUCGGGUUCAGAGACUAAGCGAAAGUGAUAAGUUAGCCACCUGGGGAGUACGUUCGCAAGAAUGAAACUCAAAGGAAUUGACGGGGGCCCGCACAAGCGGUGGAUUAUGUGGUUUAAUUCGAUGAUACGCGAGGAACCUUACCAAGGCUUAAAUGGGAAUUGACAGGUUUAGAAAUAGACUUUUCUUCGGACAAUUUUCAAGGUGCUGCAUGGUUGUCGUCAGCUCGUGCCGUGAGGUGUUAGGUUAAGUCCUGCAGCGAGCGCAACCCCUGUCACUAGUUGCCAUCAUUCAGUUGGGGACUCUAGUGAGACUGCCUACGCAAGUAGAGAGGAAGGUGGGGAUGACGUCAAAUCAUCACGGCCCUUACGCCUUGGGCCACACACGUAAUACAAUGGCCGGUACAGAGGGCAGCUACCAGGUGACUGGAUGCGAAUCUCGAAAGCCGGUCUCAGUUCGGAUUGGAGUCUGCAACUCGACUCUAUGAAGCUGGAAUCGCUAGUAAUCGCGCAUCAGCCAUGGCGCGGUGAAUACGUUCCCGGGCCU